rnacentral:tRNA from 1 species
GGGGAAUUAGCUCAGCUGGGAGAGCGCUUGACUGGCAGUCAAGAGGUCAGGGGUUCAAGUCCCCUAUUCUCCACCA